UGUAAGCGUAUACCAAAGUUGUUGCAGUUAAAACGCUCGUAGUCGGACUUUGGCAGUUCCGGAUGUGUGCACGUCGUGUGCGCACUUCGCGGGGAUUGCUUUUGUGGUCUUGCGUAGGAUGAGGCACUUUUAUUAGUGAACGUCCUCACGCAACCACUCUUUACUGUGAGAAAAUCAGAGUGCUCAAAGCAGGCAUUUGCCGUGAAUGUAUUAGCAUGGAAUAAUAGAAUAGGACUUGGUUCUAUUUUGUUGGUUUGUUGGGACUGAGUAAUGAUUAAGAGGGACAGUUGGGGGCAUUUGUAUUUCGGUGCUAGAGGUGAAAUUCUUAGAUUACCGAAAGACAAACUGCUGCGAAAGCGUCUGCCAAGGAUGUUUUCAUUGA
rnacentral:rRNA from 1 species